UGAUUAAGCCAUGCGAGUCAUAUGUUCUUCGUGAACAUGGCGUACUGCUCAGUAACACGUGGAUAACCUGCCCUUGGGACCGGGAUAACCCCGGGAAACUGGGGAUAAUACCGGAUAACGCAUAUCUGCUGGAAUGCUUUAUGCGUAAAAUGGAUUUGUCUGCCCAAGGAUGGGUCUGCGGCCUAUCAGGUAGUAGUGGGUGUAAUGUACCUACUAGCCUACGACGGGUACGGGUUGUGAGAGCAAGAGCCCGGAGAUGGAUUCUGAGACAUGAAUCCAGGCCCUACGGGGCGCAGCAGGCGCGAAAACUUUACAAUGCGGGAAACCGUGAUAAGGGGACACCGAGUGCCAGCAUCAUAUGUUGGCUGUCCAGAUGUGUAAAAUACAUCUGUUAGCAAGGGCCGGGCAAGACCGGUGCCAGCCGCCGCGGUAACACCGGCGGCCCGAGUGGUGAUCGUGAUUAUUGGGUCUAAAGGGUCCGUAGCCGGUUUGGUCAGUCCUCCGGGAAAUCUGACGGCUCAACCGUUAGGCUUUCGGUGGAUACUGCCAGACUUGGAACCGGGAGAGGUAAGAGGUACUACAGGGGUAGGAGUGAAAUCUUGUAAUCCCUGUGAGACCACCUGUGGCGAAGGCGUCUUACCAGAACGGGUUCGACGGUGAGGGACGAAAGCUGGGGGCACGAACCGGAUUAGAUACCCGGGUAGUCCCAGCCGUAAACGAUGCUCGCUAGGUGUCAGGCAUGGCGCGACCGUGUCUGGUGCCGCAGGGAAGCCGUGAAGCGAGCCACCUGGGAAGUACGGCCGCAAGGCUGAAACUUAAAGGAAUUGGCGGGGGAGCA
rnacentral:rRNA from 1 species